UACGGAGGAUGCAAGCGUUAUCCGGAUUUAUUGGGUUUAAAGGGUGCGCAGGUUGUUUGAUAAGUCAGUGGUGAAAGUCUGCCGCUUAACGGUAGGAUUGCCAUUGAUACUGUUGGACUUGAAUAUGGAUGAGGUAGGCGGAAUGUGUAGUGUAGCGGUGAAAUGCAUAGAUAUUACACAGAACACCGAUUGCGAAGGCAGCUUACUAAUCCAUCAUUGACGCUGAGGCACGAAAGCGUGGGGAUCAAACAGGA
rnacentral:rRNA from 1 species